rnacentral:piRNA from 1 species
UGGCCACCCGAAUACCUAGAAUUCUUUGU